AUGCACGCUGGCGGCGUGCCUCAUCCCUGCAAGUCGCGCGAACGGACGAGAAGCUUGCUUCUCUGAUGUUAGCGGCGGACGGGUGAGUAACACGUGGAUAACCUACCUAUAAGACUGGGAUAACUUCGGGAAACCGGAGCUAAUACCGGAUAAUAUUUUGAACCGCAUGGUUCAAAAGUGAAAGACGGUCUUGCUGUCACUUAUAGAUGGAUCCGCGCUGCAUUAGCUAGUUGGUAAGGUAACGGCUUACCAAGGCAACGAUGCAUAGCCGACCUGAGAGGGUGAUCGGCCACACUGGAACUGAGACACGGUCCAGACUCCUACGGGAGGCAGCAGUAGGGAAUCUUCCGCAAUGGGCGAAAGCCUGACGGAGCAACGCCGCGUGAGUGAUGAAGGUCUUCGGUUCGUAAAACUCUGUUAUUAGGGAAGAACAUAUGUGUAAGUAACUGUGCACAUCUUGACGGUACCUAAUCAGAAAGCCACGGCUAACUACGUG
rnacentral:rRNA from 1 species